rnacentral:lncRNA from 1 species
AACCUCCUUCGUAGUAUAGAACCUCAAGUUUUUCUCCUUAGUUCAUAAAUAAAAAAGAACCUCAAGUUUUGAUUAGUGUGAUUUGUCAAAAUAAUGAUCUCCUUCAUUCAUAGCAUGGACCCUCAAGUAAAUUCUUUUGUUCAAUCUUGUUGCAGGAGAGCAUGUAUGUAUGAUUUAGAUGUCUUGAGUUUAGAGUAUUCUUGAUUUUCUUUCUAUGUCUUUCGUUUCUUGAUCCAUUAGCCAGCCAGAUUGCUUAAUUUCAGCUUUUUCUAUAAGCGAGAUCUUAGGGUUAUGCUUCUCUUCACUCUUCUUUUACGAUACGUUGUUAAGAAUUAUUUUUGUAAUUUUUGGAUUAUUGAAUAUAAUUUAUAAACAUCAUUGGAUAAUGAGACAUACAUUUGGACGUUUUGCAGCGAGCUGAGAAGUCUUGAUGACUAGAACGGUUUGAUACGAAAAUGGGGAAUGGCUCCAGAUAGAUAAAUCAGUUUAUUCGAUGAUUCGUUCUUUAUUACUUUAAUUUCUGGGUUUUUACUGCAAGACAUGCAAAUUGAAUUUUCAACAUGUUUUCUUGCAGCGUGUUUGUCAAACUACUACCUGCUUGAUGCAUGGAGCCUAGCGUUUUAAUUGAUUUGGUGAUCUUUAUUAAAUUCUUUUCAUUUUAUGAUUUGUUUUACCUUCUUUGGUGUCGCAGGAAAAGUAAUUUUGUAACAUACGAUUACUUAUGAUUAUAUCAUAUGCACUCCUCUCUGGUUGAUUAUUUGUUUUUGUUGGUUUGGACUGCAGCAUGGUUUGACAAAAUAAUAAUAUCCUUCACAGCAUAGAGCCUCAAGUUUUGAUUUAG